AAAAUAGCAGGUUGACAAAGGGGGGAAAACCCACCCACUUGCCUCCUUCAUUGAAUGUCAUGGUUGAACAACUUGAAGUAGUACCAAACUUCCCUAUAAAUAGCCAUGGAACAUAAGGUAUUUCAUCACAUCUCCUAUUUCUCUUCUUACUUUCCUUCUCCUUUCUCCUUUCUCCUUCCUCCUCUAUACUCACCUCCUUUUUGCUUUCAUUUGUGGUCUUGAGCUCCUCACGAGCACCUCCUCGCAACCACCUUACUGGCGCCAUUCGACCACCAUCGUGCCGCCACCUCCUUUCUUGUUGUUGUUGCACUACUACAAAACUUGGAAAAAAGACCCCCAAUUAAAGACCCGUUAUUUAACCAACGGGUCUAGCUCUUUGAUAUAAAAGAUCCAAUAUAAAUUAUAACGGGUCUCUUAUGUGUAUUAAAGAGAGAGAGAGAGAAAUGAGAGACCUGUUAUCAAUCCUAACAGGUCUCUUAUUUAAUUAGGUCCCACACCUUUGAUUAGAGAAGGAAAUUGAAAGAGUCGUUGACUAGUAUGACAGGUCUCUUAGCUUUGCUCUUACUCAUGCUAGUAGAUUGCCCUGACCUAUUUAUUUUUAUUUUAUCAUUAUUUCCCAAAAGUCAUUCACCUAUUCUCACUCUACAAAUCCUCCGCCCAAUGCAAGCCCAACCCAUAAUUAAAACCCUCAUCCUUUCCUUAUGAAUAUGCCGCCGUCACUUCUUCCCUUCUCCAUUAAAUCAUUACUAUCUCCUUCUUCUCCAUUAAAUCAAAACACUACAUUUAUUCUAAGAAUGGUAAAAAUGGGCUCUUUCUAUCCUCUUACAUGCUUGCCGUUUAUCCUCUUAUUUUCCCCAAGUUUGAGAAUAUCGCUACUUGCUAAGUUCCGAUGAUGUUCGAUAAUAGAUCUGUAAAUUAUGAAGAAUUGUUGUCUAAUUUAUGACUGAACUUCCGAUUAAAAUUACGUCCUAUUUCGGGUCUCACCUUCGGGUCAUUUCUCUGAUGGGCUGAUUCAUGAAGGUUUUGCAGAGCUAGUUGUUGUAUUUUUUGGGAGUUAUUCAUUCCACCGAGAUUAUACUCUAGUUUGUGUGAUUUCGUCAUACGAGUAGUAAAUUCUCGAACAGAGGAGAUUGGAAAUGGAGUAUUCAAGAACAUAUGGUGUUAUUAUAAUUGUAAAAUUUCAGUAAAUUCAUAGGACUUUUUUUUUUUUUUUUUUUUUUUUUUUUUUGCAAAUUCAUGUUGGAUGAUCUUAUUGUAUCAAUUUUAAUUUAAUCUGUUGCUAUUUUAUGUAGUCUUAGAGUGUAAUUUACAAUUUAUAAAUAAUCCACCAAUUUUUACAUAGCAUAUAAGUAGAAUAUUCAAAAUUCAAAUGAAAAUCGUCCAAAACCGUACCAAAUAAAAAAAAACAAAAAUAUUAUUUUUUUAAAAAAAAAUUAAAUGGACAAAGAGAGCCGUUAUUUGACAUGGUAGGUCUGUUUGGUACCACUUAACAGACCCCCUAUCUCUAAUAACGGGUUUCUUUUUCUUCAAAUUUAUUAAAUUUAUAACUCAUGUAACAGACCUGACAUCACUUACAACAGGUUUCUUUGUCUUC